CCCUAGUAACUGCGAGUGAAGCGGGAAAAGCUCAAAUUUAAAAUCUGGCGGUCUUUGGCUGUCCGAGUUGUAAUCUAGAGAAGUGUUAUCCGCGCUGGACCGUGUACAAGUCUCCUGGAAUGGAGCGUCAUAGAGGGUGAGAAUCCCGUCUUUGACACGGACUGCCAGGGCUUUGUGAUGCGCUCUCAAAGAGUCGAGUUGUUUGGGAAUGCAGCUCAAAAUGGGUGGUAAAUUCCAUCUAAAGCUAAAUAUUGGCGAGAGACCGAUAGCGAACAAGUACCGUGAGGGAAAGAUGAAAAGAACUUUGGAAAGAGAGUUAAACAGUACGUGAAAUUGCUGAAAGGGAAACGCUUGAAGUCAGUCGCGUUGGCCGGGGAUCAACCUUGCUUUUGCUGGGCGUACUUUCCGGUUGACGGGUCAGCAUCAAUUUUGACCGUUGGAUAAAGUCCAAGGGAAUGUGGCAUCUUCGGAUGUGUUAUAGCCCUUGGUCGCAUACAACGAUUGGGAUUGAGGAACUCAGCACGCCGCAAGGCCGGGUAUUUUACCACGUUCGUGCUUAGGAUGCUGGCAUAAUGGCUUUAAUCGACCCGUCUUGAAACACGGACCAAGGAGUCUAACAUGCCUGCGAGUGUUUGGGUGGAAAACCCGAGCGCGUAAUGAAAGUGAAAGUUGAGAUCCCUGUCGUGGGGAGCAUCGACGCCCGGACCAGACCUUUUGUGACGGAUCCGCGGUAGAGCAUGUAUGUUGGGACCC
rnacentral:rRNA from 1 species